UGGGGGAUAUUGCACAAUGGGCGAAAGCCUGAUGCAGCGACGCCGCGUGGGGGAUGAAGGCUUUCGGGUUGUAAACCUCUUUCGCUAUCGAACAAGGCCCGCUUAGGGUGGGUUGAGGGUAGGUGGAGAAGAAGCGCCGGCUAACUACGUGCCAGCAGCCGCGGUAAUACGUGGGGCGCGAGCGUUGUCCGGAAUUAUUGGGCGUAAAGGGCUUGUAGGCGGCUUGUUGCGCCUGCUGUGAAAACGCGGGGCUUAACUUCGCGUGGGCAGUGGGAACGGGCAGGCUUGAGUGUGGUAGGGGUGACUGGAAGUCCAGGUGUAGCGGUGGAAUGCGCAGAUAUCUGGAGGAACACCGAUGGCGAAGGCAGGUCACUGGGGCAUUACUGACGCUGAGGGGCGAAAGCAUGGGUAGCGAACAGG
rnacentral:rRNA from 1 species